rnacentral:tRNA from 1 species
GCCAGGAUAGCUCAGCUGGUAGAGCGCGUCGCUGAAAACGACGAAGUCCCCAGUUCGACUCUGGGUCCUGGCA